rfam:Triticum aestivum genome assembly, contig: Triticum_aestivum_CS42_TGACv1_scaffold_515091_6BS
AAGGUACUCCCUCCGUUCCAAAAUUCUUGUCUUAAAUUCGCUUAGAUACGGAUGUAUCUAAUACUAAAACAUGACUUCAUACAUCCGUAUUUAGACAGAUUUAAGACAAGAAUUUUGGGACGGAGGGAGUAUUAC